ACAAUUUUGGCAUGAAUAUGAAUGUGUACAAAACCAAAAUUGCUUGAAGCCAAGAAGGUUUUUGCUCAGUGACUGGGACUUUCAACCUUGUGUUGACAUUUGGGGCCCAGCUUUGCUUCCAGUGAGCAAGGUGGAAAUGUUGACACUCUUUCCAGGAGAAACAGGCUGAGAUCCCGGAAGCAAAAGAGACAGUACUUUGUAAUAAAUGCACAAAACCAGAAGCAACAGGCUCGUUUAGUAUCAGUAAAGGUCAGUUAAAAUUAUAGAGACAUCCUUUGGAGCAAAUCCUCUGCCUUGUAUUUGCAUAUUUAUGAACUAGAGAUUAUGACAGCCUAUUCCAUUUAUUAGAGCAGCGAUGCUAUACUUAAUAGUCUGUCAGCAUUUCCAUUAUAAACCCCCUUUUUUCAGGGUUUUAAUAUCCCAGCCACUUAAAAUCACGACAAGCAAGCAAGUCACUUUUGUUAGGCCAGGUGUUUGUUUUUAUUUCAUUUAAAAUUAAAAUCGAUUUAAAGGAGUUUGGUUCUUUAUGACUUGGAAGAUAAAGCAAAAGAUGAAAGAUGACAGGAAGUUUCUGUAACUACUUCAUGUUCCCUUUACUGUCAGUGGUGUUCAUGGACCCAAAUGUUUUGAAACCAUUACUUUUGAGGACUUCAUCUCCCCAGAAUCUGCCAGGUCCUACUGGCUGGGAGAUUUGUAGUAAAAUAAAAUAACGUUUGCAAGCUGUGGCCUGGAGGGAACAGUAGAAUUAAGAAGUUAUAAACCAACCCUUUGUCAAACUGCAUGAAAUUUGGGUUGGUUGGUUGGUUGGUUUUUAGCUAACAGUCUUUGCGCUUCCUUUUUAAAUCCAUUUUUGUAUUGGAAGGCUAACCCAGUAUAAAUCAUUUGAAGUCUAUGGGUAACAUUAUCUAUAAUUUAAACCACAGAUCAGUUAAUCUGGAGAAUUUGAUUUCAAACCCAUUGGUUUUAAUGACAGAAACAGUGUGAUACUAUGAGUUUAGUGGGACAUUACCAAGCUAACAGAUAUAGGUUUCAGGCUAAACCCAAUUAUGUUUGCUGGAUUGACUGUUUUGUGGGUCAACUUUCCUGAGGGGAAAAGAAAUCUUGUUCUGUGAAAAGAACCCUUGGUUGCCAUCCUAACCCCACUGAUGUCUACGGUACUUUAUGGACAAGACUUUUAUUAGGCAAUCAUCCUUCCUCAUUCACAGAGUUUUAGGAGAGUCCAGACCAGAAUUAGAAAGUUCUUUUUUAGACUGCAACUCUCAGUGGACAUGCUGGCUGGGGAUUCUGGGAGCUGCUGUCCACAAAGUAGUUUUUUCAGGCCCUUGUCCAGACAACACCAUCUCCCAUCAGUAACCUCGCUUUCCUUCCACAUCUUCCACCCUCUUUAAUAAGAAAAAACUCCAAAGGCGAGAAAGUCAGAGUAGAUGCCCAGGGCCUUUGGUUAUUCAUGCUACGAGCCUUCUGGCUGGAGACACUUUCAAUUAAAUGGUUAUAUGCCUAUCUAGCAAUAAUUUUUUCUGGCUUUGCUAGAACAGGUAUUUAAUAUGGUUUGCCUUUACGAUUCUCACCUUUGUAUUUGUUGCAUGUGUCCCCUUUUUUUACUUUUGGCGACACUGAGGAAAACAGACGACAGGGUUUUAUUGGCAAGAUUUGUUCAGAGGGGAGGCUGACUUUGCCUCCCUCUGAGACUGAGAGUGUGACUUGCCCAAGGAUACCCUGUGGAUUUCCAUGACUCUGAUCUCCUGAGUCGUAAUCCAAUUCUCAAACCACUACACCAUGCUGAUUCUCAACUAUUUAACCAAAAAUUAUUAUUAGAAUCCAAGAGAUGCCUAUGCUGGGUAGCUGUAGACUUUUGCAGGUGUAGUACAGCAUUGUGUCCAAUAUUGGCAAACCCAAUGCUUCUGGAAAGCCAAGCAAAAUGGAGACUACUUCAUCUCUUGUUCCUUCCCUUAGCAAUACCUAAAGAUAAUAAAGAUUUGAGUGUGAGCAUA